CCCUUAGAUGUUCUGGGCCGCACGCGCGCUACACUGAUGCAUUCAACAAGCCUAGCCUUGACCGAGAGGUCCAGGUAAUCUUUGAAACUGCAUCGUGAUGGGGCUAGAUUAUUGCAAUUAUUAAUCUUCAACGAGGAAUGCCUAGUAAGCGUGAUUCAUCAAAUCGCGUUGAUUACGUCCCUGCCCUUUGUACACACCGCCCGUCGCUCCUACCGAUUGAAUGUGUUGGUGAGGAGCUCGGAUUGGCAGCAGUUGGUGGUUCGCCACCGGCUAUUGCUGAGAAGUCCUCCAAACCGCCCCAUUUAGAGGAAGGAGAAGUCGUAACA
rnacentral:rRNA from 1 species